ACACUAACAAACGCCCGGGUAUUACGAGCCUCAGCUUAAAACCCAAAGGACUUGACGGUGUCCCAUCCAACUAGAGGAGCCUGUUCUAUAAUCGAUAACCCCCGAUACACCUAACCCCUCCUUGCCAAUCAGCCUGUAUACCUCCGUCGCAAACUUACCAUAUGAAUGCCAAUAGUAGGUUAAAUGGUUAUAUCACCAACACGUCAGGUCAAGGUGCAGCUCAUGAUAGGGAAAGCAAUGGGCUACAAUUUCUAAAAUAGAACACACGGAAUGCUGCAUGAAACACAGCCGCGAAGGCGGAUUUAGUAGUAAAAAGAAAAUAAAGUGUCCUUUUUAAUAAGGCCCUGGGACGUGUACACACCGCCCGUCACCCUCUUCAACAGCACACAAUAUGUUCCUAACAACUCUUGCACCUUAGAAGAGGCAAGUCGUAACAUGGUAAGUGUACCGGAAGGUGCACUUGGAUUUACAAAGUAUAGUUUAACAAAACCUCCCGCUUACACCGAGAAUAUAUCUGUGAGAAUCAGAUUACUUUGAGCCUAAAAUUAAGCCUAACCCACCCCCAUGAAAACCACUUCCAACUAAACAACAAUAAAACAUUUUAUCAGUUUAGUAAAGGCGAUUAAAAAACUUCCUAGCGCUUUACUUCUAGUACCGCAAGGGAAAAAUGAAAUAGUUUUGAAACAGCCAUUAAGCAACCUAUAGCAGAGACUACCCCUCGUACCUUUUGCAUCAUGGUUUAGCCAGUCUUUUUCAAGCAAAGCGAAACAUCAGUUUGACCCCCCGAAACUAAGCGAGCUACUUCAAAACAGCUCAAUGGAGCCAACCCGUCUCUGUCGCAAAAGAGUGGGACGAUUUUUAAGUAGAGGUGAAAAGCCUACCGAGCUUAGAGAUAGCUGGUUAUUCAAGAAAAGAAUUUUAGUUCUACCUUAAGUUUCUGUAUUAACCCUAUAAACCACUCAAACUUAAGAGCUAUUCAAAUGAGGCACAGCUUAUUUGAAAAAGGAUACAACCUAUAAAAAAGGGUAAACCCCCCCCCCCCAAAAAAUAAGUGGGCCUAAAAGCAGCCACCUUUAAGAAAGCGUUAAAGCUUCUUUUUUCCAAAAAUCUAAUACCAAAACACACCUUUAACCCUUUAUUCCUACUGAAUGAUUCUAUACUCCUAUAGAAGCCCCAAUGCUAAAACUAGUAACAAGAAAUUGACUUUCUCCAAAAUACAAGCAUAGACCAAAAUGGACUAACCAUUGGUUAUUAACGUCAAUUAAUCAAUAUAGCAACUAUAUCAAGAAAACACUAUUAGUUAUUACGUUAACCUUACACAAGUGUAUUUCCGGAAAGAUUUAAAGAGGGGGAAGGAACUCGGCAAAUAAUAACCUCGCCUGUUUACCAAAAACAUCGCCUCUUGAUAAAAUAUAGGAGGUCCAGCCUGCCCAGUGAUAUAAUUAAACGGCCGCGGUACCCUGACCGUGCAAAGGUAGCAUAAUCACUUGUUCUCUAAAUAGGGACUCGUAUCAACGGCAUCACGAGGGUUAUACUGUCUCCCCCCUCUAAUCAGUGAAACUGACCUCCCCGUGAAGAGGCGGGGAUAUUUAUACAAGACGAGAAGACCCCAUGGAGCUUUAAACCCAAUAACAACCUCCACCAAAGUACCCUAAAAAUGAAGAGGCACUGUUUAUUGGUUUUAGGUUGGGGUGACCACGGAGAAAAACUAAACCUCCAUGACGAAUGGACCUUAAGCCUAAUCUAAGAGCCACUACUCCAAGAAUCAUUAAUUUGACAUAAUUUGAUCCGGCAACCGAUCAACGAACCAAGUUACCCUGGGGAUAACAGCGCAAUCCAUUUCAAGAGCCCCUAUCGACAAAUGGGUUUACGACCUCGAUGUUGGAUCAGGGUAUCCCAGUGGUGCAGCCGCUAC
rnacentral:misc_RNA from 1 species